CAUCUGCCCGCGUGGAGAAAGCGUUUUUGUCGACCAAUUUCCAAAAUUUUGCUCAACUUUUGGCAAACAUUUGAGCUUAUUUUUUACCCUUUUUCUGCCAGAAACCACGCUAUUUUUUGCAUAAGAUAUCCUUUUUAAUUUCAAGGUAAGUACAGAGGUAUUUUUUGCAGCGUUUAUUCAUUAUUUUACGGUUUAAAUUUUCAUAAAUUUACGAAGUAUUUUUGCUCGGAUAAAUUGGCUGCUAGUUUAGUUACAUUUUGUCGAUUUUCAUGUAAAGUAGAGUCCACAUAGUACAUAUUAAUGUUAAACAGUGUUCAUUGUUUAAUCGAGGGGGAAAAUCGGUCGAAAGUGGUCCCAAGGGAAUUCAAUAACUGAGAUUUUGUUCUUUGAAAAUGACGAAAGAGGCGCCAACUUUCUAAACAUUUCGCGGUCUGUCGGUUUGGUAGAUGUGGGGUUCUUUCGUAUUAUAAACGAAUAUAUAUUGGAUAUUAUAAUUUAAUACCGCAGAGUACUAAGUUAAUAUACAAUGACUAAACUUUAAAUCUUUUGCAAAAGUUUACAGUAACAGAAGUACUCAAAAUUAUAUUUAUAUAGUGAAUACUGCACAGCAUAUUUGAUAUUUCCACAUCCCCCUGGUAUUUCUUGGGAAAAGUACUGAUCGUUUUCCUGUGAUUUUGCAUAUAUUAUAUGCCAGUUUUAUUCAUCUGAUACCAGAAGUUUAGAUUUCUAUGGCUAUUGAUCCAACAUAGUAUUAUGCAUGCAUACAUAGAAUAUUGACAUUUUUGUGGACACUAAUUUUUUUUAUGGAUCUGCCCUGCACUCUAACCCUAGUCGGUUCUUAUCCUAACCGUUCUGGCCACUUGUUCGCAGGAAAAAGAACUCUUACACAUAAACUUGAAAUUCCAGUAUGGGAUUUGAUCCGGG